rnacentral:rRNA from 1 species
UACGUAGGGGGCUAGCGUUAUCCGGAAUUACUGGGCGUAAAGGGUGCGUAGGUGGUUUCUUAAGUCAGAGGUGAAAGGCUACGGCUCAACCGUAGUAAGCCUUUGAAACUGAGAAACUUGAGUGCAGGAGAGGAGAGUGGAAUUCCACGUGUAGCGGUGAAAUGCGUAGAGAUGUGGAGGAACACCAGUGGCGAAGGCGACUCUUUGGACUGUAACUGACGCUGAGGCGCGAAAGCGUGGGGAGCAAACAGG